GGAAGGAGUACUAAGAGGAGAGAUGCUUUGCUUUAGUAGGAUGGCAGCUUUGGGAAAGAGACGCGAGAGUGAGUGUGCAGAGAGCUUGUUCUGAGUGCAAGAGAUAAGUGGGAUGAAUCCUGUCUUAGAGGCAAUCAAGCAAGAGAGGAUGGGGUGGCAGGCACUUCAGCUCUCUAGCCCCUCCUUCCAGGGCAGAGCCAUUUUAGAGAUCCACGUCUUUUCCCCAUCCAUAGGCUGCUGAAGCCAGAAACAGCCCAGCACUUAAGAGGGGAGCGGAAAAUGACAUCACUAGUCUGGGCAGUAUCUUCUCAGCCUAAACCAUUAUUCCCUCCCUCCCUUUUAACAAAGACUCCUAGUUUCCCACCCAAUAUCCAGUCUCCAUUUUCUUCCUAACUGAAUGUUGACUUCUUCCCCCUGGGAAACAAGAUAUCAAGGAAAAUGAUGCACCUUGUUUGCCUCCCUUGCAAGUGGGCCUGGCCCAUCCAUCAGAGCUUCAAAGAUAGCCAGGCAGGAGUUAUUUUAUAGAAUGGAAGUAAUUUCUACGGGGCCAAGCAAUAAUAAGGAAAUUGGAAGUCAAGGACUAUCUUCCGAAUGGAGAAGAAGCUCCAUCAACCACAGAAGGAAAUUAUGAUCACUCCUGCCAUCCUGCUCCUUUGUGUAUCCAGGAUGAAGGGGAGAAUUGGAGUCUUGCACAAUGAAAGGACAACAUUGCUGCCAAAACAAUCCAUCGUGACUGUAGACAUAUUUUCCACCCUCAUCCUGCAGGUUUUCUGCCAGUUGUUGGCCCCUCACCAAUUUUGCUCCUGGGCAGUCUGAGGUGGAACAUAAUUUUGUAUAAAACAAAUUAUGCUCAACCUCACUUAUAAUCAGGGAAAUGUGAGUCAAAACCACAAUAAAAUAUCACCUCAUGCUGUUUAGGAUUGCUGUUAUCAAGUAGACAAGAAAGAAGUGUUGGUGAGGGUAAGGAGAAAAUAAAAUCUUUGCACACUGUUGGUGGGAAUGUAAGUUGGUAAAGCCACUAUCAAAGGCAAUAUGAAGGAUUCUCAAAAAAUUAAAAAUAAAAUUGCCAAAUGAUCCAUCAAUCCUUCUUCUGGACACAUAAUCAAAGGAAAUGAAAUCAGUAUCUCAAAUAGAUAUUUGCACCCCAUAUCCAUUGCAUCCUUUUUUGUAAUAACCAAGAUAUGGGAGCAAUCGAAGUGUCCAUCAGCAAAUGAAUGGAUAAAGAAAUCAUGGUACACAUAUACAGUGGAAUAUUAUUCAGACAUAAAAAGGAAGGAAAUCCUGUCAUUUCUCAAGACAUUAAUGAACCCAGAGGACAUCAUACUAAGUGAAAUAAGCUAGAUAUAGGAAGACAAAAACCACAUGAUCUCACUUACAUGUGGAAUCUAAAAAAGUCAAACUCAUAGAAGCAGCGAGUAGAAUAGUGGUUGUCAAGGGCUUGGGAUAAUUGAGGAGAUGUUGGUUAAAGGGUACAAACUUUAAGUUAUAAGAUGAACAAGUUCUGGCGCUCUACUAUAUAGUAUGGGUGAUGACGGAUGUGUUAAUUAAUUUGAUUGUGACAUUCAUUACACGAUGCAUAUGUAUAACAAAUCAUCACAUUGUACACCUUGGAUAUAUUCCAUCUUUAUUUAUCAAUUAAAUAUUUCAAAAUGUUUUUAAAAAGGAAGGCAAAAUGGGCCAAAAGGAGUAACUACUUUAUGUAGAGCUGAUGUCCAGGCUAGAAUUUCUAAACUUUUUCUGUAACCUAGAGUCUCUGUUAUACUUUUGACUUACCCAUUAUUCAUAACAGAUCUCAGGAACCCUCAUCACACUGCCUAUUGCUAAAAACUCAAAGGAGUUAUUGUUAUAUGAACAACCCAAGUUAAUGCAGUCAUUAAUGGAAAUACAGAGUCUUGACUGAAAGAGAUCAUUUCUAUUUUUUGUUGCGAUAGUCAGAUCAUAGCCAGUCACAUCUUUUAGGGAGGAUGCAAAUAGGCUGGACUUCCUUCAGCAAACAGGAUGCUGUAGAAUAAAAUAUUCUACAUGAGAAUACUUAAACAAAUUGGAGUGCCUGGUGCCACCAUGUAAAUUGUGAGGUGUCAGACAGGCUGGUCUUUGGAUUAGAGAUUGGACUUACUCUCUGUGGCCCUAUGAGUAGAGCAGGUCGGGGUGGGGCUGGGCAGGGAGGAAGAUCAUCUUAAAGUGAUAGAUGUAGGCUCAGUGUGAGGAAGGAUUUCUAAGAGUUGGAGCUGCUCAGAGGUGAAAUAUCAAGAGAAUGCCCUUCAGGAGCAGUGUCUGAAGACAGACCACAUGGCCAAUAGGGAGAGAUAAGCGGGCUGGGUGGCCCUCAGCGCUUUGCUUCCAGUCUUGGGAGUCUUACUGAAAUAGCUAAUGACCACUCAACCCAAAGAACAGACACAUGUCUGCCAUGUCUCUCCAGGCUCAUCCUGCUUAUUGCAAGUGAGGCCCAAAGGUGGGGCUGUUAUUCCCUGAUGUUUCAGGUCCAUGUGCAACUUAUUCCCAGAUCUUUUCUGAAAAAAAAAGCAGAGAGACUGUUUGCCAGACAGCUGGACCAGAAUGAGGUAAAAGAAGAUAAGGCCCAACCGAGAAGUCAGAAAAGCUUCACUUUUCAUUAGCUCCACAUUCCAAAGUAAGAAAUCAAUGUGCUUAGCUGCAAUUCAAAGCAAUUAGUCUUUGUUCUCACACACUCUCAAAGAACGACUUAAAGAAGCCCAAAUAAAUAUUUUCAGAAAAGAGAGUAAAUUUGUGUUACUUAACCCAAGGAAUGCAAACAAGUGUAAUUAAAGUGAAUACCCAUAAAUAAAGUAAAUACAUUAGUUAGGAAAUGAAUUAAUUAGUGUUUAAUUACUAUCAAUUACUAAAAUCACUACAGAAUUACUUGUAGAAUGGACUGAAUCUCUUGCUCCUAUUAAUAAUUUCCAUUGCUAAUUGUAUGCACUUGUAUUUUCUUUGGGUGCAUCUUAGCAGAGCUAAUAGGAGGAAGCAACAGCACAGUGAACAAUGACAGGGACAUUUUUUUUCUUUGUUCAGUGAAAAACAAAAGGGAUUUGAAAUACAUCUGCCUGGUUUUCAAAAGCCAAUGUGGGUGAGGAAGGGACGCAGGAAGGAAGGUUGUCCUCGUGACACAGGGUGACCCUCGCCAUUCCCUGCUGAGGGGAAGCAGCUGAUGUUUGUGGCAGAGCCCUAAGGUGAGGGUUGUGUGUGUGUGUGUGUGUGUGUGUGUGUGUGUGUGUGUGUGUGUGUGUACAGAGGAGAAAGGUAGGUACUGGGAGGCUCAAUGCCUGAGCUCACUUCCAGCAUGCUCUGUGGAAUGCAUAUGUAGACUGGCAGCCAGGCAUCUCUACCCACUGGUCUUGACAGGUGAGGGAAUAAGUUUUACAUUUACCUGGAGGACAAAGUUCGUCAUUUGCUGCCUUGCAGGUGGAGAGAACACACCUGACAUCAUGCUCCCUAAGAAGCAACACACUAGCUGGUCCUAGAAACAGAUGUAUACAAAUGAGAGGCUGAGGCUAAAGAGUGUCUUUCCUGGGACCCACUCUGCCUGCUCACCAGCAUUCUCAUUUUCCUGUUUACACAACAUCCCCUUACCCCUUCCCUGCCCUCUCCUCCUCUCCCUCAUGGACACAGACUCUCAGGCCAGACCGCCUAGGUUUGAUUCCAAGCUUCCUCACCUGAAAGACCUUGGGCAAAUUACUUAACCUCUGUGAGUCUCAAUUUCCUCACCUGUAAAAUGGGGAGAAUGAUAGUACCUACCUCUCUUGGUUCUGGUGAGAGCUCAGAUCAGUGGGUGACACAUAGCAAUCUCUGCUUUACUCAUUUUCUUGGUAUUUCCACCACAUAUUUCUUUGUGGAGUAGUUGAGGGGAUACAUAUGAUGUGGAGAUAAACUAGCUGGGAGGAUGGCAGGAGUGAUUUGGGAGGGAAACGAAGUUGAAGAGGAGGAAUUGGUCCUUAAGUGGUUGUUCUGUUUAUUAGUUAGGGUUCUCCAGAGAAAUGACACCCAUAGGAGAUUUAUUAUGAGGGGUUAGCUCACAUGAUUAUGGAAGUGGAAAAGUCCCAUGAUCUGUUGUCUGCAAACUGGAGGCCCAUGAAAGCCAGUGGUGCAACUCAGUCGAAGCCCAAAGGCCAGGAGUGCCACUGUCGGGGGGGCAGGAUAAGACGGACAUCCCAGCUGAAGGAGAGAGAGAGCAAACUCAUCCUUCUUUUGCUUUUCUGUCCUGUUAAAGCCCUUUAAGGAAUAGAUAAUGCUUGCCUACAUUGGUGGGGGCAGAUCUUCUUUGCUUAGUUUAUUUAUUUAAACGCUAAUCUCUUCUGGAAACACUGUCACAGGUAUACCCAGAGAUAAUGUUUUUCCACCUAUCUUGGCAUUCCUUAGCCUAGUCAAGUUAAUACAUAAGGAAUCAAAAAAAAAAAAAAGUCAAACCCUCAAAAGGAGAGUAAAUGGUGAUCACUAGGGCCUGGGGUUUGGGGAAAAAGGGAAGAGAAGUAGGUUAAAGGGCAAGUACUUUCAGCUAUAAGAUGAAUAAGUUCUGAGGAUCUAAUGUAUAGCUUGUUAACUAUAGUUAACAAUAUGAUACUGUUUAUUUGAAAUUUAUUAAGAGAGUAGCUCCUAAGUGUCCUAUAUGCGUGCACACACACACACAGACACACACACGAUAACUAUGUGUGGUGAUGAAAGUGUUAAUUUGAUUGUGGUAAUAAUUACACAAUGUAUAUGUAUAUCAACUCAUCAUGCUGUACACUUUGAAUAUAUACAAAUUUUAUGUGUCAAAUACACCUCAAUAAAGCUGGAC
rnacentral:lncRNA from 1 species